rnacentral:rRNA from 1 species
CGAGCGCACUCUUUUAGAGUGAGCGGCAAACGGGUGAGUAACGCGUGGGAAUCUACCCCUCUCUACGGAAUAACACAGAGAAAUUUGUGCUAAUACCGUAUACGUCCUAUUGGAGAAAGAUUUAUCGGAGAUGGAUGAGCCCGCGUUGGAUUAGCUAGUUGGUGAGGUAACGGCUCACCAAGGCGACGAUCCAUAGCUGGUCUGAGAGGAUGAUCAGCCACACUGGGACUGAGACACGGCCCAGACUCCUACGGGAGGCAGCAGUGGGGAAUAUUGGACAAUGGGGGCAACCCUGAUCCAGCCAUGCCGCGUGAGUGAUGAAG